rnacentral:rRNA from 1 species
CCUACGGGGGGCUGCAGUGGGGAAUAUUGCACAAUGGGCGCAAGCCUGAUGCAGCCAUGCCGCGUGUGUGAAGAAGGCCUUCGGGUUGUAAAGCACUUUCAGCGGGGAGGAAGGCGUUAAGGUUAAUAACCUUGGCGAUUGACGUUACCCGCAGAAGAAGCACCGGCUAACUCCGUGCCAGCAGCCGCGGUAAUACGGAGGGUGCAAGCGUUAAUCGGAAUUACUGGGCGUAAAGCGCACGCAGGCGGUCUGUCAAGUCGGAUGUGAAAUCCCCGGGCUCAACCUGGGAACUGCAUUCGAAACUGGCAGGCUAGAGUCUUGUAGAGGGGGGUAGAAUUCCAGGUGUAGCGGUGAAGUGCGUAGAGAUCUGGAGGAAUACCGGUGGCGAAGGCGGCCCCCUGGACAAAGACUGACGCUCAGGUGCGAAAGCGUGGGGAGCAAACAGGAUUAGAUACCCUUGUAGUC